UACGUAGGGUGCAAGCGUUAAUCGGAAUUACUGGGCGUAAAGCGUGCGCAGGCGGUUUUGUAAGUCUGUCGUGAAAUCCCCGGGCUCACCUGGGAAUUGCGAUGGAGACUGCAAGGCUAGAAUCUGGCAGAGGGGGGUAGAAUUCCACGUGUAGCAGUGAAAUGCGUAGAGAUGUGGAGGAACACCGAUGGCGAAGGCAGCCCCCUGGGUCAAGAUUGACGCUCAUGCACGAAAGCGUGGGGAGCAAACAGGAUUA
rnacentral:rRNA from 1 species